rnacentral:tRNA from 1 species
GGGCUGUUAGCUCAACGGUAGAGCAGCUGACUCUUAAUCAGUAGGUUCGGAGUUCGAAUCUCCGACAGCCCACCA